AUAUAUAAGUAAAUCUCUUGUUUUGAUCACCGGUUCUGCUAACGGGUAAAUUCGCUUGAACGUCUGAAUUGUAAACAGUUACGCUCUUAUUUUGAAAUUCAGCACUUAAACCGGAUAUGGCUAAAUACAGUCGCCAUCUUUAAACUGGCUCACCUGCUAACAGUUGAUAGUUUAUGUAAAAAAAAAAAGAAGUGACAAACUGGUUAAUUUUGUAUAAGUAAGCUGAAAGAAAACCAGCUAAAGAACCGUGGCUGCUGGACCAUUUGCUACAAGGAAGAUUUGGUCAUUUGUUUCCUGUCUGGUAGCUUUGCACAACUGCUGUGGACAGCAAGGCUAUCAGUUUAACACCAAACAUUGUAACAAUGCUACACUAUGACACAAUAAUGUUUUCAUUUCUACUUCUCUAACCAUCAGCCUUCAUUCCUUUUCUGAUAUUUAUAACAUCUACACUGGCAAGCACAGAUUUGAAAUCUUUAAAAGUAGAAACACUUGUUUCUAAAACAUCAAAAAAGAUGCUUUCUUCUUCAAAUUGCUCUUCUUCUCAAGGACCUUCAGACUUUGAUAUGGAUGAAUCUGGUUCUUCCACAAUAAAUUUAUCACGUUUUAUAGAUGAAACUAUAAGGAUAAGUGAUAUUAGAGUCGAUAUCAGCAGGAAACAAGACAACAAUGACAAAGCUGGGACAGAGCAACCCUAUCCUUACCCCGAUAGCCCAGAGAAUAAUCUAGAACUGGCCAUCAAGAUCCUCCAACGGUUUGGGCUUGAAAAAGAAGAUUUGGAAAGUCUUCUCUCCUACCCUGAAGACCAGAUCACUGUAACAAAUCUGCCUGUCAUCUUGGAGCAAAUCUGCAUUACGAAGAAAAAGAAAACAACUGAUUGUUCAAACUUUCUACAAGUCACAAGUACAACUGGAUUUGACCAUUUUAGUUGUUCAGAAGGUGAACAGAUUCACAGAGUCGAUCAAAAUUUUGGGUUUAAUGGAGUUUUGGAAGAAACUAGUAAAAGAAGGAGCUCAGCAGAGGUGAAAAACUGGGAUUCAGAUGAUCAGAAAAGCUCUUCCAACAGUUCUGGCUCAGUCAGGACCUUUGUGGACCAUCCAGCCAAUAAUUGGAAUAACCUGCAGACCCAACCAAGUCAGAGUUUACAGUCCAUUCUCUCUUUGUUUCCUCUGGUGACGCAAGAAACCGAUAGACAUUCUGCCAACUCUGAAGGAUCUGAACCAAAAUCCAACUGGAGUUCAACACCUGAAAUGAAACAAAUUGCUGAAAUUAAGCAAUUUGUUUCAAUACCUGGAGACAGAGACCCUGGCCAAGCCAUUAAUGACAACAUGUGCAACAAUGAGAGUAAAGCUAAUGGACAAAUUACAAUUGUUGUUGAAACGAAGAAGAAUCAAAAAUCAAACCAGAAGUACGAGAAAACACAAAGUUACUCUGAUUUAAAUCCGGCUCCUCCUCCAUCCAUGAGGCCAACUUGUCCGCCUGAGGCAGCUUCCACCCAGUGGCUGCUGCCGCCUUCAGGCAGAGCGUUCCUACCUGAUCCAACUGGUUUCAAUGGUCUGCCUCCACGAGCCAUGAUGGAGGAUUACACUGCUGCCAUGCCAAGGUCGUUCCCACACACCUGUUCUCUCUGCAGCAUAGUGUGUGUUAAUAUUAAGAACUGGAUCGUCCACCAGAAUAUCAACUUCCAUAUCAAGGCCUGCAUUCUCUUCCGCAAAACAUACCCAACCUGGGAUUGUACAGUACCACUGUUUGAGAGUUUUCCUGAUAAAGACUCCUCCACCUCUGCUCAGACAUUCCAGCGUUAUGAUCACAGAGUUGGGUCCGAGAGCCGGUCCAGAUCCAGAUCCAGAUCCAGAUCCAUCGGUCCAUACAGACUGGAGAAUAAAUGUUACAGAUCCAGGAGCAGUUCCUGCUCUCCAGGUCCUCAUUUCCACGAUGCUUGGAUGGAUAGAAGCAAACCAGAGCAACGGGAGGAUCCAAACACUCACAGAUCUCUCUCACCACCUUCGACGUCGCAUGACCGUUCGGAUUCGAGGAGCCGUCGGAGGCGAUCUUCAUCCGGGAGGAGGAGCAAGAAGAAAAAGUCUUCAUCCGACCGGAGACACAGGAGAUCAACAAGGCCAUCCAGUAAACGGCUGAGGUCGAGCAGAAUACAGCAGCUGACCAAAAAGCUGCUGAGAACAUCAGCUGUCCGGUCGCUUAUGAAGAAACCGAAACUCAAAACUGUGGUCAGAACUCUGGUUCCCAUCAUCUUGGCUGAACUCAAGAACCUGAAAUCCUCCUCUUCAUCCUCUUCUUCUCAUUCAUCAAACAAGAAAUUGGAUUCAAAUUUUUCCAAAGUGAAAUCUGACCUUCAGAUCGGUGAACCUGGUUCUUCCAGAAAACCUCAAGACGAUGUACCAAAAGUGAAAAGGAUGAAGAGCCUCAAUAUUCAAGGAACAUCAGCCACUGUGGUUAAAGAAAAGGAGAAGCAAUUUUCUGUGGAACCCAAAGUCUUCAGAAGACGACCAACCAAACCUGUGUCCAGCACUGAUCUGGCUCUACAUUCAACUAGACAUAAUGCAUCUUUACCAAAAAGAAGGAUGACAACAAGCAGACGCAUCUCAAAAGCUAAAGCUUUGGUUUCCAAAGCAAGAAUUAUUCUAACCCAGCAGUUUGUCAGAUCUCUAAAAGUAGGAACAGUUAAAUUUAAGGUGAAAAAACAAGUUUCAAAGCUUCUGGGAUCUACAAAGUUGAUGUUUACAAAGAAGAAAGUGGCUGGUAGUGACUCCAAAAAAACACACAAAGAGUUUAAACAAUCUCUAAAGGGACUGGAAGAGAAAACUACAGAAGAAAUGAUAAAAAUAAGAAUAGAACAUCUACAGGAAGAUGUGAGCAAAGAAGAAAUGAAAGAAAAUGAAGAUGUUAUGGAGGUAGAAAACCUGGAAACUCUUCAGACCAAAGAGUUUGAAGAUGCUGAAACUCUGAAACAUCUGGAAAUAAGAUCAGCAGAUUGUGUGGAGGUUAAAACUACCACUACAGUCGAACUACAGAGGAGUUUAUCCAGCGAACCAGCAGAGAGUUACGCAUCAAGCUGCUCCGUUUUUGUACCAGAACCAGCUGAUCCGCCUCAGACUGAACAGAAUCUCCUCAAAGCUCCAACGUCUUCAGUUGGUUCAUCAUCAGAGUCGGAGUGAAAACCAGAUUUCCUCCUCAUGUCAGAGGACUGAGGCUGACGCUUUGGAAACAGAAAGUUCGCCUGAUUUCAAGAAACAGCAAAAAGAAAAGAAGAGAAAAUCAAAGAAAAAAGCUGGUUUUCCUCGAUGCGAAGGUGCUGCUCAUAACUAACCUGCCCAGGUAUUUCGACGGCUGCUACAGAGAGGAUGACGUUGCUGAUCUGCUGCGCCCGUUUGGCUUCAUCUUUAAGGGGAGCAACAUCUACGUUAUUCCUGAAAUGUGCAUGGUGGGUAGCAGAUACUUGAGAUUUACCUUUCUCUCUUCUUAAGCAAGACAUCACUGGAGGUAAAAUCCUGAAAAUCCCUCCCAGUAAGGCCUUAGAAACUCUGGCCCUUCGUGCAGUUUUCAUUUGUUUUAUGCAUUUCCUGAACCAUAAUGGAGAAAUAUGAAUAAAAACAUGAAGAAAAGCAGCCGAGAGUUCAGGAAAAAUUUCCAGUAAAGUUGCAAGAAGUGAAGAUUUGCAUAUUUAUAUCUGCAGUGAGGAACAAUAAGUCAGCAGAAAUGUGAUCUGAGGUCUGGUGCUGGUGGAUACCUAACAAAC